rnacentral:rRNA from 1 species
GAUGAACGCUAGCUACAGGCUUAACACAUGCAAGUCGAGGGGAAACGCCAUCGAAAGCUUGCUUUUGAUGGGCGUCGACCGGCGCACGGGUGAGUAACGCGUAUCCAACCUGCCCAUCACUUGGGAAUAACCUUGCGGAAGUAAGACUAAUACCCAAUGACAUCCCACGAAGACAUCUGAAUGGGAUUAAAGAUUUAUCGGUGAUGGAUGGGGAGGCGUCUGAUUAGCUUGUUGGCGUGGUAACGGCCCACCAAGGCAACGAUCAGUAGGGGUUCUGAGAGGAAGGUCCCCAGCAUUGGAACUGAGACAAGGUCCAAACUCCUACGGGAAGCAGCAGUGAGGAAUAUUGGUCAAUGGGCGAGAGCCAGAACCAGCCAAGUAGCGUGGAGGAUGACGGCCCUAUGAGUUGUAAUCUGCUUUUAUAAGGGAAUAAAGUGGGUCUCGUGAGACUUUUUGCAUGUACCUUAUGAAUAAGGACCGGCUAAUUCCGU